UACGAAGGGGGCUAGCGUUGUUCGGAAUUACUGGGCGUAAAGCGCACGUAGGCGGAUUUGUAAGUCAGGGGUGAAAUCCCGGGGCUCAGCCCCGGAACUGCCUUUGAUACUGCAAGUCUCGAGUCCGAGAGAGGUGAGUGGAAUUCCUAGUGUAGAGGUGAAAUUCGUAGAGAUUAGGAAGAACACCAGUGGCGAAGGCGGCUCACUGGCUCGGUACUGACGAUGAGGUGCGAAAGAGUGGGGAGCAAACAGG
rnacentral:rRNA from 1 species